rnacentral:rRNA from 1 species
GACGAACGCUGGCGGCGUGCUUAACACAUGCAAGUCGAACGGAAAGGCCCUGCUUUUGUGGGGUGCUCGAGUGGCGAACGGGUGAUUAACACGUGAGUAACCUGCCCUUGACUUUGGGAUAACUUCAUGAAACUGGGGCUAAUACCGGAUAGGAGCUCCUGCUGCAUGGUGGGGGUUGGAAAGUUUCGGCGGUUGGGGAUGGACUCGCGGCUUAUCAGCUUGUUGGUGGGGUAGUGGCUUACCAAGGCUUUGACGGGUAGCCGGCCUGAGAGGGUGACCGGCCACAUUGGGACGGAGAUACGGCACAGACUCCUACGGGAGGCAGCAGUGGGGAAUAUUGCACAAUGGGAGGAAGCCUGAUGCAGCAACGCCGCGUGCGGGAUGACGGCCUUCGGGUUGUAAACCGCUUUCGCCUGUGACGAAGAGUGAGUGACGGUAAUGGGUAAAGAAGCACCGGCUAACUACGUG